CCAGCUUCGUGUACUUGGCCAGCACGCCGGUCUUGUACACCGGCGGCAGCGGUUCGAAGCCCGCCUUGCGGGAC
rnacentral:tRNA from 1 species